GGUGCUCGAAAGCAGGGGCUCACUGCACACUAGUCGGGCCUCUGUCCCCCAGUGACGUCAGGGUGACAGUGCUAGCUCCUCGCCGUGGCCGGGGACGUGUAACGAGACACCGAAGAGCUGCUGGUCCCGGCGCUCGGGGGGAGUUGGCAGCCGCU